rnacentral:rRNA from 1 species
CAAUAGCGUAUAUUAAAGUUGUUGCAAUUAAAAAGCUCGUAGUUGGAUUUGUGGUUCGUCCCGCCGGCUGGGUCAUUGACUUUUGCUGUGCUGGUCGUCCAUCCUUGGGUGGAAUCUGUGUGGCAUUAGGUUGUCGCGCAGGGGAUGCCCAUCGUUUACUGUGAAAAAAUUAGAGUGUUCAAAGCAGGCUUAUGCCGUUGAAUAUAUUAGCAUGGAAUAAUGAUAUAGGACCUUGGUACUAUUUUGUUGGUUUGCGCACUGAGGUAAUGAUUAAUAGGGACAGUUGGGGGUAUUCGUAUUCCAUUGUAAGAGGUGAAAUUCUUGGAUUUUUGGAAGACGAACUACUGCGAAAGCAUUUACCAAGGAUGUUUUCAUUAA